GGCGAAGUGGCCGAGUGGUUAAGGCGCUGUGUUUAGGCUUCGACUUCGAAACCUCAUAACAACCGCAGUGGGAAACCUCGCGCGUUCGAAUCGCGUCUUCGUCA
rnacentral:tRNA from 1 species